CCAGACUCCUACGGGAGGCAGCAGUGGGGAAUUUUGGACAAUGGGCGCAAGCCUGAUCCAGCUAUUCCGCGUGUGGGAUGACGGCCCUCGGGUUGUAAACCACUUUAGUAGAGAACGAAAAGGAGCUAUCGAAUAAAUAGCUCUGCUGUCGGUACUCUAAGAAUAAGCACCGGCUAACUACGUGCCAGCAGCCGCGGUAAUACGUAGGGAGCAAGCGUUAUCCGGAUUUAUUGGGUGUAAAGGGUGCGUAGACGGGAAGUCAAGUUAGUUGUGAAAUCCCUCGGCUUAACUGAGGAACUGCAACUAAAACUAACUUUCUUGAGUGCUGGAGAGGAAAGUGGAAUUCCUAGUGUAGCGGUGAAAUGCGUAGAUAUUAGGAGGAACACCAGUGGCGAAGGCGACUUUCUGGACAGUAACUGACGUUGAGGCACGAAAGUGUGGGGAGCAAACAGGAUUAGAUACCCCAGUA
rnacentral:rRNA from 1 species